GCGAAAUCUUGGCUCACUGCAACCUCCACGUCCCAGGUUCAAGCAAUUCUCCCAUCUCAGCCUCUUGAGUAGCUGGGAUUACAGGCAUGUGCCACUAUGCCUGGCUAAUUUUUGUAUUUUUAGUAUACACAGUGUUUCACCAUGUUGACCAGGCUGGUCUCGAACUCCUGACCUCAGGCGAUCUGCCAGCCUUGGCCCCCCAAAGUGCUGGAAUUACAGGAAUGAGUCACCAUGCCCGGCCAGCAGCAUCUUAGAAACCAAAGAAGACAGCCUCAAAAGGUAGGGAGUAGCCCAUGUGGUCAUUUGUUACAGAGGAAUCAGGCAAGAUAAGGAUGAAGAAGAGUCCGCUGUAUUUGGCUUCUAGGAGAUUACUGGUCACAAUGGCAAGAAUAGCUUUAAUUCAUUGCAGCUGUGGGGGUACCAAAGUGGAGAUGAGGAUUAUUGCGUUACUUGUGAUGCUAAUAACCAUAGAGGAGCCAGCACAUGUGGA
rnacentral:lncRNA from 1 species